rnacentral:rRNA from 1 species
GAUGAACGCUAGCGGCAGGCUUAACACAUGCAAGUCGAGGGGUAUAGUAGCAAUACUAGAGACCGGCGCACGGGUGCGUAACGCGUAUGCAAUCUACCUUAUACAGGGGGAUAGCCCAGAGAAAUUUGGAUUAAUACCCCAUAGUGUUAUUUGAUGGCAUCAUUAUAUAACUAAAGUUCCAACGGUAUAAGAUGAGCAUGCGUCCUAUUAGCUAGAUGGUAAGGUAACGGCUUACCAUGGCUACGAUAGGUAGGGGUCCUGAGAGGGAGAUCCCCCACACUGGAACUGAGACACGGACCAGACUCCUACGGGAGGCAGCAGUGAGGAAUAUUGGACAAUGGGCGCAAGCCUGAUCCAGCCAUGCCGCGUGCAGGAAGACGGUCCUAUGGAUUGUAAACUGCUUUUGUACGGGAAGAAACACUCCCUCGUGAGGGAGCUUGACGGUACCGUAAGAAUAAGGAUCGGCUAACUCCGUGCCAGCAGCCGCCGUAAGAC